GACAGGGUGGCGUUGUAGGGCUCUACCACCGUGUCUGACACCUUGGGUGAGGGUACCACGCUGAAGGUGUUCAUGAUGCGGUCAGGGUAUUCCUCACGCACCUUGCUGAUG
ensembl:miRNA